CUCGUCGGGGUGACCCGAAAUGACCCGGAGAAGCCGUAGGGAGGUCCGGGGAGAGUUGUCUCUUCUCUAUAAGCGUUCGAGUUCCCUGGAAGCCUCUAGGAGGGAGAUAGGGUUUGGAACGCGAAGAGCACCGCACUUACGGCGGUGUCCGGAUCUUCCCCUCGGACCUUGAAAAUCCGGGCGAGGGCCACGAGGAACACCGCGCCGGCUCGUACCCAUAUCCGCAGCAGGUCUCCAAGGUGAAUAG
rnacentral:rRNA from 1 species